rnacentral:tRNA from 1 species
GAUCUCGUGGUGUAGUGGUUAUCACAUCUGUUUAACACACCAAAGACCGGCGGUUUAAGCCCGCCCGAGAUCA